CAAUGUAGUUACGGCCCUGAAACUAAUAAAAGAUAACAAGGGUUUUAUAUUGUUUACAAAUGUCUUAUUAUUCUUAUUUUAUCUUGAUUCAUUUUGAGAACUCAAAUUGUAUCAAUGACAUACUGCACAUUUAAAGAUUUUUGAAAACUGGGAGUUAGCCGGCAAUUGUUUCAUGGUGCUUAAAACGGAUAAAUAAGAGGGUUCCGAAAUUCCAACAAUACAAAACAUGACAAGUGAACUUUCUUAAUUUAUUAUCAGUAGCAGGAAAAUGACAGAAGAAUUUAAGCCUUCCCUUUCGUGUUAAAGUCUGUCACAGUUUUCUUUUCGUUAUAUAGGUGAUUUUUUUUAAAUGAAUUUUGACUAAAUAU
rnacentral:lncRNA from 1 species